rnacentral:rRNA from 1 species
GACAGAGGUGCCGAGCGUUAGGCGGAAUCACUGGGCUUAAAGCGUGUGUAGGCGGGCGGGCAAGUACCUUGUGAAAUCCCACGGCUCAACCGUGGAACGGCUGGGUAUACUGCCUGUCUUGAGCCAGCUAGGGGCGACCGGAACAGACGGUGGAGCGGUGAAAUGCGUAGAUAUCAUUUGGAACGCCAAUGGUGAAAACAGGUAGCUGGGGCUGUGCUGACGCUGAGACACGAAAGCCAGGGGAGCAAACGGG